GGGGGCGGGGGCGGGGACGGCCUCAGAAGGGCCUAGACCGGGAGAGGUAAACUGAGACCUGCGGGUGACGUCUAGUGGUUGGGACCAGAAAGCAGCUAGACCACAGCCCCGUGGGACCCAGCAGCCGCUCCCGCAACUCGGUCCCGCCUCCUGGCAGCGCCUUUCCGGUUACACACCGGCGAGCCGAGCGCACGCACCGCGAGGCAUCUACGGGUCCCACCGCGGCCCACUCCGAGCGUGGCAGAACUACACGCGCGCGUGGAGCAUGCGUACUACCCGCGGUGGAGGCUGCACGCCGCCCGAGCCCGAGGUUUGGCCGGGAUGGGGGUGGGCCCUCUGCUGCCGCGCCCUUCCCAGCCAGCCAGGUGUGAAGUCUCCUCUUUACUGGGUCUGCCUUCCUCUUCCUCACAUCCUGACCCCCUUCAUAGCAUCCGCUCUGGAUAAGUUAACCCACAUUCCCACCGCCCUGACUGCCCUUUGACUUUUCAAUAGAUGGCUUAUUCAUGGGUUUCCCAACCCUCCCCACCGCCAGUAUAUUAGGUUAGUUCUGCCACUUUGCCUUUUCGGUAAAACCACUGAAUCCCAUGCUGCCCUGAGCACCUAGCAUAACCAUGCACAGGAAAGAAGUCCCAUUCCCAAGUUUCUUAAGUCUUGUAGUAGAACUCAACAGCCCAAAGCACCCACCUCGUUUCAUUUUCAUCAAGCAGCCAGUGAUGCUUUGGGGGGCAGGAUUUGGGGGGGGGUUCUGUUUACUCUUCCCUCCCUAGGCUGAAAAGACCCCAAAGACACAGCCAAAGACCCCAGUCUGUGCACAAAAAUGAUACAUUUAUUGAAAGAGUAAUUUUUUUUAAUACAAAAGAAAGCUCUGUACAUAGGACUGUGACCAUGUCCACUAUUCCUGGGUCGGCAUCCCAGGGGAAGUAGAAACCAUUGACACACAACAUUCAUGAACAUACACUCACUCAGGCACAAGUGCACACACAUACACACACGCACACACUCCAGAGCCACCAAGGAAGGGAAACACCAAGGGUCGCUGCACAUAGAUAUGCCACCUCAUCCCUGACACCCAUGUUCUGACACGCAUGUUCUCCCACAGCCACGAUCACACAACACACAUAAGCAUUUUGCCUGAAUCACACACUGGGUCUGUCUGUUGUGAGGAGGAAUUUAUCAACAUCUCCUCCCAGGUGCAGGGGCAGUGGGGAGUGAGUGAGUGGUGAGGAGUGAGCAGAGAAAGGGGCUGGGCAGUUACAGACCUGAGUCCCAAGUGCCCCCACUCUGGCCCCUGACUGACCAUGCCCCAGCCUUGAAAGCCACUCAAAAGCCCAGAAGAAAGCCCCAUAAACGUGACUUUCAUCUUGGCACCCCGAGCUGGGGCAAAACAGUAAUGGGGAUUAGAGGUUGGGGGGGUUCUCAAACAGGUCAACAGAUCAUCCAUCCCCUUGAUACCUAGGCUGUGCGUAAAAUCCCCACCCCCACCCCUCACCUAAUCACAGAAGCAGACUUGUUCCUACUGAAGGCAGCACCAAGGGGUUAAUGAAACGCCACCCCAACUGCCUUUCUGUAAAAGCUUCCUUACAGGAUAUAGGUGGUGAAGGUCGGCUCUGACACAGGGUAAAAGACCCUCCCCUAUGCUGACCCACCCUCAAGGUCUACCCCAAGGGGGCAUUAAGGGGGUGGGGCAUGGCCCCUGUACAAAUUACAUAAAUACUGAGGUUACACUUAGAAAAAUAAAUUCAUUUUCUUCAAGGCUUUUUGUCUUAAUUUAAAAAAGUUACAGUAGCUGCUCACUCCCUGGGAGAGCUGCCCAUUUCUGGCUCCCCAUUGCUGCACUCAGCCAAAGAGCUGCUCCUACUUCCAACCCCGAUUCCUGCGUCUCCCCACCUCCCAGACCCCACCCUGCUCACUGCAACUUGGGCCCCAGGCAGCUGCAGGCCUGGGGGAGCACAAGGCUGCAAUGCCCAUGCAUGUGGCACAAAUGAAAUCAGUUGCCUCUACCUGACACCCUCCCACCCCACCCCAUUUGGUCUCCCUCUUCCCUCUUCCUAGCAACAGCCCUAGAGGGCAAAAGAGACCCAGAGCUGUGGGUUAUCCUCCCCACCACAUUGGGGCAUGGCCUGAGGGUCCCUUCCCCCGGCUUUCUCCUGGAAACAACCCAGGACCGGGCAAUCCCAGAAUCUCCCCCCCCACACUGGUGGACCCCGAGCUCAUGGGGUGGCUCUGUCCCCAGGGGCCCAGCCAGUUCUGGGGAGCCCAAGGGCUCCCCAGGGAAGGGGAGUUUGGGCAGGGAG